rnacentral:rRNA from 1 species
GGGUUGUGAGGUUAAGCGACUAAGCGUACACGGUGGAUGCCCUGGCAGUCAGAGGCGAUGAAGGGCGUGCUAAUCUGCGAUAAGCGCCGGUAAGGUGAUAUGAACCGUUAUAACCGGCGAUACCCGAAUGGGGAAACCCAGUGUGAUUCGUCACACUAUCAUUAACUGAAUCCAUAGGUUAAUGAGGCGAACCGGGGGAACUGAAACAUCUAAGUACCCCGAGGAAAAGAAAUCAACCGAGAUUCCCCCAGUAGCGGCGAGCGAACGGGGAGGAGCCCAGAGCCUGAAUCAGCAUGUGUGUUAGUGGAAGCGUCUGGAAAGGCGCGCGAUACAGGGUGACAGCCCCGUACACAAAAGCGCAUGUGCUGUGAGCUCGAUGAGUAGGGCGGGACACGUGGUAUCCUGUCUGAAUAUGGGGGACCAUCCUCCAAGGCUAAAUACUCCUGACUGACCGAUAGUGAACCAGUACCGUGAGGGAAAGGCGAAAAGAACCCCGGCGAGGGGAGUGAAAAAGAACCUGAAACCGUGUACGUACAAGCAGUGGGAGCACCCUUUGGGUGUGACUGCGUACCUUUUGUAUAAUGGGUCAGCGACUUAUAUUCUGUAGCAAGGUUAACCGAAUAGGGGAGCCGGAGGGAAACCGAGUCUUAACCGGGCGUUAAGUUGCAGGGUAUAGACCCGAAACCCGGUGAUCUAGCCAUGGGCAGGUUGAAGGUUGGGUAACACUAACUGGAGGACCGAACCGACUAAUGUUGAAAAAUUAGCGGAUGACCUGUGGCUGGGGGUGAAAGGCCAAUCAAACCGGGAGAUAGCUGGUUCUCCCCGAAAGCUAUUUAGGUAGCGCCUCGUGAAUUCAUCUCCGGGGGUAGAGCACUGUUUCGGCUAGGGGGCCAUCCCGGCUUACCAACCCGAUGCAAACUGCGAAUACCGGAGAAUGUUAUCACGGGAGACACACGGCGGGUGCUAACGUCCGUCGUGAAGAGGGAAACAACCCAGACCGCCAGCUAAGGUCCCAAAGUCAUGGUUAAGUGGGAAACGAUGUGGGAAGGCCCAGACAGCCAGGAUGUUGGCUUAGAAGCAGCCAUCAUUUAAAGAAAGCGUAAUAGCUCACUGGUCGAGUCGGCCUGCGCGGAAGAUGUAACGGGGCUAAACCAUGCACCGAAGCUGCGGCAGCGACACUGUGUGUUGUUGGGUAGGGGAGCGUUCUGUAAGCCUGCGAAGGUGGCCUGUGAGGGUUGCUGGAGGUAUCAGAAGUGCGAAUGCUGACAUAAGUAACGAUAAAGCGGGUGAAAAGCCCGCUCGCCGGAAGACCAAGGGUUCCUGUCCAACGUUAAUCGGGGCAGGGUGAGUCGACCCCUAAGGCGAGGCCGAAAGGCGUAGUCGAUGGGAAACGGGUUAAUAUUCCCGUACUUGGUGUUACUGCGAAGGGGGGACGGAGAAGGCUAUGUUGGCCGGGCGACGGUUGUCCCGGUUUAAGCGUGUAGGUGUGUGUUCCAGGUAAAUCCGGUUCACUUUAACACUGAGGCGUGACGACGAGGCACUACGGUGCUGAAGCAACAAAUGCCCUGCUUCCAGGAAAAGCCUCUAAGCAUCAGGUAACAUCAAAUCGUACCCCAAACCGACACAGGUGGUCAGGUAGAGAAUACCAAGGCGCUUGAGAGAACUCGGGUGAAGGAACUAGGCAAAAUGGUGCCGUAACUUCGGGAGAAGGCACGCUGACACGUAGGUGAAGUGAUUUACUCAUGGAGCUGAAGUCAGUCGAAGAUACCAGCUGGCUGCAACUGUUUAUUAAAAACACAGCACUGUGCAAACACGAAAGUGGACGUAUACGGUGUGACGCCUGCCCGGUGCCGGAAGGUUAAUUGAUGGGGUCAGCGCAAGCGAAGCUCCUGAUCGAAGCCCCGGUAAACGGCGGCCGUAACUAUAACGGUCCUAAGGUAGCGAAAUUCCUUGUCGGGUAAGUUCCGACCUGCACGAAUGGCGUAAUGAUGGCCAGGCUGUCUCCACCCGAGACUCAGUGAAAUUGAACUCGCUGUGAAGAUGCAGUGUACCCGCGGCAAGACGGAAAGACCCCGUGAACCUUUACUAUAGCUUGACACUGAACAUUGAGCCUUGAUGUGUAGGAUAGGUGGGAGGCUUUGAAGUGUGGACGCCAGUCUGCAUGGAGCCGACCUUGAAAUACCACCCUUUAAUGUUUGAUGUUCUAACGUGGACCCGUUACCCGGGUUGCGGACAGUGUCUGGUGGGUAGUUUGACUGGGGCGGUCUCCUCCUAAAGAGUAACGGAGGAGCACGAAGGUUGGCUAAUCCUGGUCGGACAUCAGGAGGUUAGUGCAAUGGCAUAAGCCAGCUUGACUGCGAGCGUGACGGCGCGAGCAGGUGCGAAAGCAGGUCAUAGUGAUCCGGUGGUUCUGAAUGGAAGGGCCAUCGCUCAACGGAUAAAAGGUACUCCGGGGAUAACAGGCUGAUACCGCCCAAGAGUUCAUAUCGACGGCGGUGUUUGGCACCUCGAUGUCGGCUCAUCACAUCCUGGGGCUGAAGUAGGUCCCAAGGGUAUGGCUGUUCGCCAUUUAAAGUGGUACGCGAGCUGGGUUUAGAACGUCGUGAGACAGUUCGGUCCCUAUCUGCCGUGGGCGCUGGAGAACUGAGGGGGGCUGCUCCUAGUACGAGAGGACCGGAGUGGACGCAUCACUGGUGUUCGGGUUGUCAUGCCAAUGGCACUGCCCGGUAGCUAAAUGCGGAAGAGAUAAGUGCUGAAAGCAUCUAAGCACGAAACUUGCCCCGAGAUGAGUUCUCCCUGAGACUUAGAGUCUCCUGAAGGAACGUUGAAGACGACGACGUUGAUAGGCCGGGUGUGUAAGCGCAGCGAUGCGUUGAGCUAACCGGUACUAAUGAACCGUGAGGCUUAACCUUACAACGCCGAAG